UCUCAAAUUGUGGUCAGAAAACUAAAACGUAAGGAUAUAAAUACAUACUAUCAUUUUAUGUUAUAAGCGGUUUCUUAUUAUAUUAUAUAUAUACAAGGAAAGUAUUGGUCAAUCAUAUUAAAGUUGUACAUAUUUUAUGUUUGCUCUUCUUUGUGAUGCCCAGUUAAGGACUCUCUGGAUAACCCGGGCAGGUUUUAUGGACAACACAACAGGAAAUUUUAAAGUAUGUCUAAAAAAUGUCAGCUCUUUGUGUUCAACAUAAGAUGGUAAAGGUUUGGGGUUAGUAAAGGGUGCGGUGCCAUUCCUAAAGUUUUCAAGGUAUUUUUUUGUUUUUGUUAAUACAUAAAUACAAUUUAUAGACUACGCAGUUGUUGGAGACUCCACCGAUAACUUUUGGUUUCCACCACAAACACCGCUUCAACAAGACGUUCAAAUAUCUACUAGAAAAAAUUUAAGACAUACUUGCAAAUACUCCAUUAGGUCCUAUUAGAGUAUAUCGACAAAGAAGACAGCUCUUCAAAGACUCAGGAAAGUUUAAUGUAAACCUUUAAGUAAACACAUAUAAGUGCUGUGUUAGGAGCAUACUGGAUUUUCUCUUUUUUCGUUUUACAUAAACUGCAUUUGUGCCUUAUUCCUCAUUUUUUCAGAACUUCCAGUAGGAUUAUCAAAAGGGCACUGUCACCUCAAUAAACACCUGAAGAUGUUAGACUUAGCAGAUUAUGCAGUCUGCAGAUUUUGUUGUGCAAAGGACGCAACCUCUAUCCACAUUCUCUCGAAGUGUGAGAGACUACGGAACAUUAGAUCACUACACUUGGGACCCUAUGAAAUAGAAGACGAAGAUAUCUGGCUACUAGGGCCAUCCUAUAUUCUGAACUUUUGAAGAAACUGAAAAUGAAUGGAUUAGCUGUAAGCACUGACGAUUCCCAGUAUCGCAGCAAUAAAGGGGGUCGCAGUGUAUAUAAUACUAUAUUAUAAACGUACGUAUAUGUAUUUAUCUAUAUGUUUAUUUUGUAUUUUUUCAAAUGUAAUAAAAAACUGUCCUUUGUAUCGUUUUUUUCGUUCCAUUUAUGAAGCCCCAUUCUCUCCAUAAUUAAAAAUGAAAAUAUAUCCAAUCCAUCUAUUUUUCGAAACAGUUCAAUGGAGAGAUCACGAAAGAUUUGAAUUCUAAACUUGAAUUUGAAGUAUGCCGCCAAAAGCAGAAAGGAAACUGUUGUUUCAUGUAUGCUUUGUAA